AUUUAUACUAGUAUUGUGCGCCAGCUCAGGAGUUCUUGAAUUUACCAUUUUUCUGUUAUACCAUAAUACAGUCCUGUAAUCUACAUUUCGCAAACACCACUCCAGAAAGAACGUCUAAGAAGGGCAAUUACACUGACUUCUAUGACCCGCCUCGUUAUAACGGACACACACGUCAUCGAAGUGAAGCGGAGUCAAACAAAUGGUCUGCAAAAUUCUACAUCACUUGGGGAGAAGAGUAAACAGUAUUCAUAGAUUACCCAGACCUGGUGUCAGUGGCAAGUCCGCGCACCCCAUAUUUCAAGUCCCAGCGUUAGCUUCCGACUGGAGGACACGAACGGAAACAUGUCAUCCCGUGUUUGAAUGCACCAAGGGGUUAAACGCCAUCGAUCACAUUCGCCAAGUCCGUCUCGUCCAUGAAGCCGUGAUCAUCGAUAUAUUAACUUAAUAAAACAAAUGUGUGUCA